AUUGAACGCUGGCGGCAUGCCUAACACAUGCAAGUCGAGCGGAUGAAGGGAGCUUGCUCCUGGAUUCAGCGGCGGACGGGUGAGUAAUGCCUAGGAAUCUGCCUGGUAGUGGGGGAUAACGUCCGGAAACGGGCGCUAAUACCGCAUACGUCCUGAGGGAGAAAGUGGGGGAUCUUCGGACCUCACGCUAUCAGAUGAGCCUAGGUCGGAUUAGCUAGUUGGUGAGGUAAAGGCCUACCAAGGCGACGAUCCGUAACUGGUCUGAGAGGAUGAUCAGUCACACUGGAACUGAGACACGGUCCAGACUCCUACGGGAGGCAGCAGUGGGGAAUAUUGGACAAUGGGCGAAAGCCUGAUCCAGCAAUGCCGCGUGUGUGAAGAAGGUCUUCGGAUUGUAAAGCACUUUAAGUUGGGAGGAAGGGCAGUAAGUUAAUACCUUGCUGUUUUGACGUUACCAACAGAAUAAGCACCGGCUAACUUCGUG
rnacentral:rRNA from 1 species